rnacentral:rRNA from 1 species
GCCCCGCAACCGACCGAUCGAGAAAACGCGCACGAUCAGCCCGGAGGUGGGCGAUAAUCUCGGGGAGAUGAGGACAAUAUUCCAUAGAUUUAGGAUGGUCGAAUGCACUUAAAUUAAAAGCUUCGGCGCCUAAGGAUGAGUCUGCGGACUAUCAGGUUGUAGUCAGGGUAACGACCUGACUAGCCUAAGACGGAUACGGGUUGUGAGAGCAAUAACCCNGGAGAUGAUAUCUGAGACACGAUAUCAGGCCCUACGGGGCGCAGCAGGCGCGAAAACUUCGCAAUGUGCGAAAGCACGACGAGGGAAUCCCAAGUGCUGGCUCGUUAGAGUCAGCUGUUUUUAUGUCUAAAAAGCAUAGAGAGUAAGGGCUGGGUAAGACGGGUGCCAGCCGCCGCGGUAA